UCCCUUGUGGCUCAGUUGGUAGAGCAUGUCCUUUGCAAUGCCAGGGUUGUGGGUUUGAUUCCCCACAUGGGAC
rnacentral:tRNA from 1 species